CAGAGUUAUCACAACUCCCAAACCCAUGUGAACCUUUACCAUUUGUUGCCUCGGCGGCGCCCCGCCCCCCCGUUCGCGGGGAAGGCGAUGCCCGCCGGCGGACCAAAACAACUCUUUGCUGUAUCGUGGCACUCUGAGUAUACAAAAACAUAAUAGUUA
rnacentral:misc_RNA from 1 species